UCCAACUCUUGACUUUCAUUCCAUUACCCCACACUACCUAUUAGUCUUUCUUAUACCUAUACAUCUACCAACUUUCACCUCCACUAUCCCAAACCUCAUCCCACAAUCCUGUAAUGGGAUAUUCUCUAGCUUUCAAACUCCUCCCUAUGGCUUAUUACUAGGGUCACUCCCCUAUUCUCCCUACCCCUCAUCUAACUAUAACUUAUAAAUACAACCCCCUGCCCAUUGACGCCAUCUUUCUUCCCCUGGUAUUGUUGGCUGUUGGAUAACUGGAGAUAAGGAGCCUAUCCCGGGACUAGUGGUCUCCUGUGUAACUAAAGCACAGCUUCCUUUCCUGCCUUCCACUCUUCUGGGAACAAAAGAACCUCAAACCUGAGCUCAUAUCUUGUGCUUUCAAGAGGCACCGACUCACUUUGAGAAUUAAA